GCUGCACUGUCACAUGUAAUCCCAUUGACUAGUUGGUUAGCUCCUUGAGGCAGGACCCAACAAACAAUAGACAAUGAAGACUAUGAACUCCUUAGUCCAGGAUAAGGACUAAUCUUUGCUUUUGUGCCUGCCACUAUCUUGGGUGACACACUGGGGACUUCCAGAGCUAAAAGCACAAGUUGCUUCAACUUCAGCUUAAGCCAGGCUAGGGGUUUUAACAACUCAUAUCCUCUGUGAAUUGGCUCAGAGGGAAAUCCGCAAUGGACGUGCACCAGUGGGUUUCGUUUGCACUGCUCUCAGUUACACCAGUGGUUAAUCGGAGGGUGGAGAGCUGUCAUUCUGUUGGAGAGUUGUAUCUGUGGAAUACCAGAGGCUCAAUAUUGAUGAUGAUGUUGUGAAGAGUCAUCUAAAAAACCCAGAAAGGAGCUGGCAUACCAUCAGAACAGCUGGCGUGCUGGAUGCCUCUUCCAAUCCAGUUAGCCCUGUUGAAUGCCUAAACCAAUGUCUGAGAUCGGGGAAUAGAUGAGAGCUAGCAGGCAGUAAAACAGGUUACAGCAACACAAUGAGAAGUCAAAAGCCACACUGAAAAGCAACAGUCUUCAUUUUGUGGAUGUUUGGAUCCCGAUCUGAAUUUCAUCAUUAGCCCCUGUGUCUCUGAAGGAGCAAACUCAAACUCCAGCCCCCAACACCCUCCAGACUUUGGGGAAGUUUGACUCUGGGCCCACAUACGGAGGCACAGCCCCAUCUUUAGUUUAUAAUACCUUCCACUGAUCUUUGAGAUAAAGUAGUAUUAAACAUUACUUUUUGAUCAAGAUUUCAAGGUAACAGUUCAAGUAAUGGUGUACAUUGAACUGCAGAUAACAAACACUAAUGGGCAUGAUUCUGUCAGGUUUUACAGUGGUGUAACUAUCAACAUCAAGAGUUACUCUUGAUUUACAUCAUCAUGAGAUCAGAAUUUGGCCCUCUGUGCGCAAACUAUUGAUUUGCACAAUACAAGGAAAAGCAGUUCCAGGACACACAGUAAGGAAUGUGACUGGGUAAAACACAAAGGAGUUUAUUUUGUACUAAUAGUUUAGGAAAGGCAUUCAGACACUUCUAAAGUUAGCAUAUUGUGCUGCCAAGAGAAACAUUGCAGCAAGUGGAAAAAAUACUUUAGCUGGAUAGCCAUCUACCAGCAGAAAUUUCCUGUUUUUCUGCCCAAACAAAUACAAUAUGACUCGCCAAGCAUAUACGCACCAGUUUUCUCUGACUUCCUGCAGGAUAAAUACUUCUAGAUCAUCCAAAGCUAACAUAGUCCUUUACCAAAACCAAGCAGCACCUGAUAAUUUGCAAAUAAUGUAGCACUUUCUCUUUAGUAAUGAUUUUCAAUUAGAAAAAUUGCCUUGUCUCAUCCAUUAGUUUUAACCUCACUCAAUUAUGGUAGAAAUUGUCUGUUUCUUAUACCAAGGUGUAAUUGUUCUUUCCACGGCUGCUUAUGGUUCAUUUUGUAUAUUUUGACAUGUGAUGUUGACAAUUUGUUUUACCAGUUACAAAACAAACGUUUUGACUCUUUUACAGUCGUUAAAUUGUCUGACUCCCUGCAUUGUCUGACUCCCACAACUGUGAAAAUUUAAAUAGAUAAAAACUUUAAAAAUGCUUGAACCCCGUACUUUUGGGCAACUGGGAAAAUUUAAAUCAAUGAAAAGGGAAACAAAUGUUUAAAAAUAUUCACUAUUACUAUCAAAAUUAUAGAAAAAUAUUGAAUUCUGCCAAGCCUAAUCAUAAUGCAUAUGCACAAGGGAACUGAACUAAGGUUGCACGAGCAACUUUAAUUUUGGCAUUUCCUAACUUUUCAGUGCUUGACUUUGCAACCUGAAUGUUCAUUGAACAUAACUGUUGGGUGUAUAAUAUAUAUAAUUUUAAACAUCAUCCCAUAUGUGAGAACAUAAAAGAUGAAGAGGGCUUAUGCUGUUGUUGGAACAUCAUAAAUCUGUAAUGUCAAAGUAUGUCA